UGGUUCUGGCAUCGAUGAAGAACGCAGCGAAAUGCGAUAAGUAAUGUGAAUUGCAGAAUUCAGUGAAUCAUCGAAUCUUUGAACGCACAUUGCGCCCCCUGGCAUUCCGGGGGGCAUGCCCGUUCGAGCGUCAUAUAACAAAUCUCACGCCUGGCGUGGUAAUGGGCCCUGUGGACUAGCAGGCCUUAAAUCCGGGUGGUUUAUUAAUUAGUAAACGGGGAGUCCUGUAGCAUGGUGCCGCAAAUAUCGACAAAUAUAUGCAGCGCGUAGUUUGUACACCCUGCCACUUUUAACGCGUUCGCGCAGUGUUCGGGAGACCGAACACACACAAGUUUGACCUCGGAUCGGGUAGGAAUACCCGCUGA
rnacentral:misc_RNA from 1 species